CCUACGGGUGGCAGCAGUGAGGAAUAUUGGUCAAUGGGCGCGAGCCUGAACCAGCCAAGUCGCGUGAAGGAUGACUGCCCUACGGGUUGUAAACUUCUUUUAUCAAGGAGUAAAGUGAGGCACGUGUGCCUUUUUGUAUGUACUUUAUGAAUAAGGAUCGGCUAACUCCGUGCCAGCAGCCGCGGUAAUACGGAGGAUCCGAGCGUUAUCCGGAUUUAUUGGGUUUAAAGGGAGCGUAGAUGGGUUGUUAAGUCAGUUGUGAAAUUGUGCGGCUCAACCGUAAAAUUGCAAUUGAUACUGGCAGUCUUGAGUACAGUUGAGGUAGGCGGAAUUCGUGGUGUAGCGGUGAAAUGCAUAGAGAUCACGAAGAACUCCGAUUGCGAAGGCAGCUUACUAGACUGCCACUGACAUUGAUGCUCGAAAGUGUGGGUAGCAAACAGGAUUAGAUACCCGAGUAGUC
rnacentral:rRNA from 1 species